GACGAACGCUGGCGGCGUGCCUAAUACAUGCAAGUCGAACGAGUGGCGGACGGGUGAGUAACACGUGGGAACCUACCCAUCAGAGGGGGAUAACACUUGGAAACGGUAGCUAAUACCGCAAACCAUCAGAUGUGCCCAGAUGGGAUUAGCUUGUUGGUGGGGUAACGGCUCAACAAGGCGACGAACCCUAGCUGGGCUGAGAGGAUGACCAGCCACAAUGGAACUGAGACACGGUCCAGACUCCUACGGGAGGCAGCAGUGGGGAAUAGUGCACAAUGGGCGCAAGCCUGAUACAGCCAUGCCGCGUGUAUGAAGAAGGCCUUCGGGUUGUAAAGUACUUUCAGCGGGGAGGCGUUACCCGCAGAAGAAGCACCGGCUAACUACGUGCCAGCCGCCGCGGUAAUAC
rnacentral:rRNA from 1 species